rnacentral:rRNA from 1 species
AGCAGCCGCGGUAAUUCCAGCUCCAAUAGCGUAUAUUAAAGUUGUUGCAGUUAAAAAGCUCGUAGUUGAAUUUCGGGAUCAAGUUGUUGGUCGUGCCUCGGUACGCACUGGUGACAUUGGUUUCUCCCUUCUGAAGAACCUUGAUGUCAUUAAUUUGGUGUCUUGGGGAAUCAGGACUGUUACUUUGAAAAAUUAUAGUGUUUAAAGCAGGCUCACGCUUGAAUACAUUAGCAUGGAAUAAUGAAAUAGGACGUUUGAUUCUAUUUUGUUGGUUUCUAGGAUCGACGUAAUGAUUAAUAGAGAUAGUUGGGGGCAUUAGUAUUCAAUUGUCAGAGGUGAAAUUCUUGGAUUUAUUGAAGACUAACUACUGCGAAAGCAUUUGCCAAGGAUGUUUUCAUUAAUCAAGAACGAAAGUUAGGGGAUCGAAGACGAUCAGAUACCGUCGUAGUCUUAACCAUAAACUAUGCCGACUAGGGAUCGGAUGAUGUUAAUUUUUAAUGACCCAUUCGGCGUCUUACGG